UUUCCAUUUCCCUUUCCAAAUCUCUCCUCAAAUUUCCCAAUCAAACACAGCAUUAAGGUUUCCGGCACAAAUAAAAUUUAAUGGCAUUCUAAAAUUAAAAAUAAAAAAUAUAAAAAAGGCCAUUGAACAAGGCCAUUGAACGAUGCCAUUGGAAUCCCAACAUUAGAGUUCCACUUGGGAACUAACUCACAAAAAGAAGGGGAAAAAUCCUAGGGUUUGCAAGUGCUUAUGUUCGGGGAAAUCCUAAGGUUUGGAUUUCAAUGAAAUUGAUUUCUCUAUACUCUCUCUAUCUUCCUUUGACAUUGGCUUGAUCACCACAACCCAAAUCAGUAACUCCCACUCUUCUCACAGAUGUGACUCACCUUUGCUCUAUCAGGGAUUGGACUCCAGAAAAGCUCUGAUUUGUUCAAAUUAUUGUUCUUCUAUGGUUUAAGCUUUUGAGGGCGCAAGGGCAUACUUGUGAAUGUUCCAUUGGAGAAUUAGCUCUGGCCAUGGUGUGCGUCAUUAUCAAAGCAUUUGAAGAGUAUAUUUAUGAGACUCUAUUCUAAUUUGUGUAGACAAUUCUGUUCUAGCAAUUACAAGGAACUUAUAAGAACUCGAUUUGGGCAUUGACUUCCACAAAUAUUAUUGAAGUACUAUAGCAAUACACUCUUUUCAUGGAUAUGAAGAUUUCUUUUUUUUUUUGGAUAUGUAAAUAUUUAUUUGUUUAAUUUUUGUUUAUGAUAUUAUGAUAAUGAUAUUGACUUUGUUAAAGUAGGAACAAUGUUUUGAUUUUAUUUUAUUAGUAAAGAAUAAUGCGUCAAUUGUAAUUACAUUUAAUAAAUAAAAUUUUAUUUGUUUAUCU